AGAGUUUGAUCCUGGCUCAGGAUGAACGCUAGCUACAGGCUUAACACAUGCAAGUCGAGGGGAAACGACAUCGAAAGCUUGCUUUUGAUGGGCGUCGACCGGCGCACGGGUGAGUAACGCGUAUCCAACCUGCCCAUCACUUGGGGAUAACCUUGCGAAAGUAAGGCUAAUACCCAAUGAUAUCUCUAGAAGGCAUCUGAAAGAGAUUAAAGAUUUAUCGGUGAUGGAUGGGGAUGCGUCUGAUUAGCUUGUUGGCGGGUAACGGCCACAAGCAACGAUCAGUAGGGGUUCUGAGAGGAGGUCCCCCANAUUGGAACUGAGACACGGUCCAAACUCCUACGGGAGCA
rnacentral:rRNA from 1 species